GUCCCUGUAGCGUAAUGGAUAGCGCGUUAGACUUCUAAUCCAAAGGCCGUGAAUUUGAAUUCCACCUGGGAUA